rnacentral:lncRNA from 1 species
GGCCUGGGAGGGAAUGUGUUUGUUUGUUUGUUUGUGUGUUUGUUUGUUUGUUUUUUGAGAUGGAGUUUCACUCUUGUUGCCCAGGCUGGAGUACAAUGGCGAAAUCUCGGCUCUCUGCAGCUUCCGCCUUCUGGGUUCAAGCAAUUCUCCUGCCUUCGCCUCCCAAGUAGCUGGGAUUACAGGCAUGUGCCACCAUGCCUGGGUAAUUUUGUAUUUUUAAUAGAGAUGGGGUUUCUCCAUGUUGGUCGGGCUGGUCUCGAACUCCCGAUCUCAGGUGAUCCGCCUGCCUCAGCCUUCUAAAGUGGCGGGAUUACACGCAUGAGUCACCGCGCCCAGCCGGGAAUGCAUGCUUUUAGGAGAAACGAAGACAACUCAGGCCCCUCAUUCUCCUGGUGUUUGCACAAGUGCCUUCUCCACAGACCAUGCUUCAGUCUCUUUCUUAGUUCUCCUUCUUACUGAAAGAGAGAAGCAGAGUCCCAUCAUGUACCCAGCUGCUUGGGGCCCAAGCCAAGUGUGCAAGCUUCCUGGGGAGCCUAGUGAGUGGAAGGCACUGCAGACUCUCCCCAAAGAAGCAUCAGUUUUUGAUGGAUCCUUGAGCCCAGGAAGGCAAUAGACAAGACAUCAUGGUUCACCAGAAGAGACAACAAAAAUGCGUUCUCUCUCCCUCCUCAUCUCGCUGCAUGCCACUGUUCACGCUCCUGGGGCUCCACGUGGACAGGUGGACAUGGGACUCCUAGGCUAAUUUUCACGGCACAAGCACAGGGCUGCAGGACCUUGGUCCCCCACCUCCCAGCACCCUCAAAAUGAGAGGUGUGGGGUCUGCCCGUGCUCUCCUGGGUGGGCGUCCCACGCUCCAGGAAGCAGAAACUGCAGGACAAAGCUGGCGCAAGUGACAUGCCCGCGUGGCUGCCGGCUUCCAUCUUGGGAUCUGCUGAGGCCAAAGCAGAAGACACCUGCCCCGGACCGACCCUGCACCAGGGCCUGUGUGGCUGCUGGAGAGGCUGG